UACAGAGGGUGCAAGCGUUGUUCGGAAUUAUUGGGCGUAAAGGGUGCGUAGGCGGUUUGAUAAGUCUGAUGUGAAAUCUAUGGGCUCAACCCAUAGCCUGCAUUAGAAACUGUCGGGCUUGAGUAUGGGAGAGGUGAGUGGAAUUUCCGGUGUAGCGGUGAAAUGCGCAGAUAUCAGGAGGAACACCGACGGCGAAGGCAGCUCGCUGGGGACGGUACUGACGCUGAGACGCGAAAGCGUGGGGAGCAAACAGG
rnacentral:rRNA from 1 species